rnacentral:rRNA from 1 species
AGCGAACGCUGGCGGCAGGCUUAACACAUGCAAAUCGAACGCAUCCUUCGGGGUGAGUGGCAGACGGGUGAGUAACACGUGGGAACAUACCUUUUGGUUCGGAAUAACUCAUGGAAACGUGAGCUAAUACCGGAUACGCCCUUUUGGGGAAAGAGUUAUUGCCGAAAGAUUGGCCCGCGUCUGAUUAGCUAGUUGGUGAGGUAAUGGCUCACCAAGGCGACGAUCAGUAGCUGGUCUGAGAGGAUGGUCAGCCACACUGGGACUGAGACACGGCCCAGACUCCUACGGGAGGCAGCAGUGGGGAAUAUUGGACAAUGGGCGCAAGCCUGAUCCAGCCAUGCCGCGUGAGUGAUGAAGGCCUUAGGGUUGUAAAGCUCUUUUAUCCGGGAAGAUAAUGACUGUACCGGAAGAAUAAGCCCCGGCUAACUUCGUGCCAGCCGCCGCAGUAA